GACAGAGGUGGCAAGCGUUGUUCGGAAUUACUGGGCGUAAAGCGCACGUAGGCGGUUCGGUAAGGCCUUUGUGAAAUCCUACCGCUUAACGGUAGAAUGUCAGGGGCGACUGCCGGACUAGAGGUUGGGAGAGGAGAGUGGAAUUCCCGGUGUAGCGGUGAAAUGCGUAGAUAUCGGGAGGAAGGCCGGUGGCGAAGGCGACUCUCUGGAACAAUUCUGACGCUGAGGUGCGAAAGCGUGGGGAGCAAACAGG
rnacentral:rRNA from 1 species